rnacentral:rRNA from 1 species
AUUGAACGCUGGCGGCAUGCCUUACACAUGCAAGUCGAACGGCAGCACGGGAGCAAUCCUGGUGGCGAGUGGCGAACGGGUGAGUAAUACAUCGGAACGUGCCCAGUAGUGGGGGAUAACCCGGCGAAAGCCGGACUAAUACCGCAUACGACCUACGGGUGAAAGCGGGGGAUCGCAAGACCUCGCGUUAUUGGAGCGGCCGAUGGCAGAUUAGCUAGUUGGUGGGGUAAAAGCCACCAAGGCGACGAUCUGUAGCUGGUCUGAGAGGACGACCAGCCACACUGGGACUGAGACACGGCCCAGACUCCUACGGGAGGCAGCAGUGGGGAAUUUUGGACAAUGGGCGCAAGCCUGAUCCAGCCAUGCCGCGUGUGGGAAGAA